ensembl:processed_transcript
ACCAGAAACCAGAUUGUGGAGGCCAGAGAAUUCAGCACCUUCAGGGGACACGCAGAGGCCUGUAGACGGAGAACAGUGAUGACAGUUACAACCUCACCUGGAUUAUGUAUGUGAGGGAGCGGACUUCCCCAGCAUCCUCGGGAUACAGCCCUACGGUGCAGAAAACCUGCCAGGAAGCAAGCUGUCCAUUCUUCAAUACACAGCUGCGUGGGUAAGACGGAUAAAAGCUACGCAGGAAGGUGGACUUGGUCAGCAAGUUCAGGACAAAGAAGUCCUUUCUCACCCAAGCCUGCCCCUCCACACCCCAAGUCCUUCCGCUACCGUGAUGCACCACCACCCAGAACACGUGACUUCCAGUCUUGAGUUGGCCAUUUGCCAGCUUUGGGAUAGUAG